CAGUUCCCAGGAUUCUUUGUGGGGUGUGUGCUUUAAACAUAUGGUGUGUACGCAACCUGUAUCAAGCCGUCUUAAGCCUGUAACAUAGCUAAGUCAAAAGGAUGUCCUUGGCCGAGACCCUGCCAAAAUCUAGGUGCUGGUUGUGGCAUCAAGCUUCUAGUCCUCUUUGAGUAAACCUUUUUCCCCCUCUUCUUCUUUUCUUCCCAGGGCUUUUAACCUCAAGAAAGAAGGUGAGGUGGAGAGGCUGGUGUCUUUCCCUGUGUCUGCCUCACCGGCCAGCUCUCUGUGAGUGCUUCUCUGGCAGUGUCUUAGCUGGUUGUUGUGUGCAAUGAUGGAGGAAGCAAUCAGCAAGAAUACUGCUGCAGAAGUGCUACACACUUUCAUGCCUGCUGAGCUUUUCCUCCUGCAGAGCCAAAGCGAAAGGACUCCUAUUCCUGGAAACGGGAUGGGCCUCUGUUCAUCCCACACCUACUCUGGACAGCUUCUAGGAAACCAGGAGGACUUCAGGAGCUGCAGAAAGCACCAGGUUCAGGGAGAGGAGGGUAGGGUAGGGUUGUCAGAAGCACCCCCAGACACAGAGGUUUUAGGACCCAAACCUGAGACCUAGGGGCUUCCCUCCUGGCAGUCAUGGGAGGUGGGGGUUAAUUGGGAGCGGGAAACAGAGGAGGGCAGACCCCACUCCGAGUUUCUGUGCUAUAAUUUGAGGCCAACUCCUGCCAAGCUGAAGCUUGCAAGCUGCAUGUGCACUCUUCUGAAUAAUUUUGUUAGUACAAUUUUGUCGUUUUAAUUUUAUAAUUAAAGGCACUCUCGCCCACCUGGAGAUUCAAGCCCUCCGACUGCCACCUGGAGGGGGCCAGGCAAGGCUAGAAACUUCACAUCUGGAGGUCUGACAAUCCUAACACGACCCUGAGAUUUAGAGUCCCAUGCUCUGCCGACUGAGCUGUGUUGAGACUGGCUGAUUUCUCUGCCAUUAGACUUUAUUGCCAUGCUUCAGCUGCUCAUUCGGAAGUAGCACAGGAGCCCUGCUUGGAAAAAAAGUUGGCAGCCUUCUACAGGAUCUAAGGACAGAAGAGGCUGUGGGCGUGUAGGUGGGGUUAACAUUCAACAUAGGGACUUCGGAAGUUGCCUUAUACCAAGUCAGACCAUUGAUCUAUCUGAGUACUGCCAACACUGACUGGCAGCAGCUCUCCAGAAUUUCCAGCUGUGGGCCUUUGCUCAUCCCUCCCUAGAAGUGUCCUGUAUAAAACCUGGGAUCUUCUGCAUGCAAGGCAGGUGCCCUGCCACUGAGUUAUGACCCCUCCUCAAUAAGGUUGCCACCUUUUCUUUUGUCCCAGCUCCUGUGCCUUUCAACAGCAACCUGAACACAAAGAAAUUAAGCUAGGGGAACCCUUGCCCACCACUUCUGUUUGUGUCAGUAAAAAAAAAAAGUUACCAAGCUUCAGCAUAUCAAUCAAGCUGAUGCUAAAUGCACAAGAGCAGGGUGGUGGGGUGGAGUUGGCAACCAAAGCCAUGCUUCUGGGUGAGAGGAAACUAGUUCUACUCAGAGCAAACCCAUUAAAAUUAAUGGAGAUAAAAGGUUUCUGGGAAAAGAUAUAUAAUGAACUGAAAAAGAUGUUGAAAUACACAUUUGUUAAGAAACUGGAGGCCUUUCUAUUGGGAUUGGUAGGAAAUGAAAUAAAUAAAGAUUGUAAACUUUUCCAGUACACAGUAACAGCAGCGAGAAUACUUCUGGCCCAAAAAUGGAAACAGGAAGAACUACCAACGGUGGAAGAAUGGAGAUCGAAAUUGACUGACUAUGCAGAAUUGGAUAAAUUAACAGGGAAGAUUCGAUAUCAGCGAGACCAUGAGUUCAUCGAGGACUGGGGAAGAUUCACAGAUUAUCUGAAAAGUAUAUGUGACAAACAGAUAACGCUUGUAGGUUUUCAAGAGGCUCUGUGAAAAACUGAGGAAUAUUGUAAAAAAGAGAAUAAAAUGGAGGAGGAUAUUUUUAAAGGCAAUAUUAAGUGUAGAUAUGCGUUAAUAAUAUAAACUAAACGGAAGAUUUGCAGAGAAACUGAGGGAAGUCAAAAAAGAAGAAGAAUGUGAUAAAAUGUGACAUGUUGUAUAAAUUUGUGUUUCAAAAUGAAUAAAAAUAUUAUU
rnacentral:lncRNA from 1 species